rnacentral:rRNA from 1 species
UACAGAGACCUCAAGCAUUAUCCGGAUUUAUUGGGCGUAAAGGGUCCGCAGGUGGUCCGGCACGUCAUCGGUUAAAUGUAUGGGCUCAACCCACACACCGCCGGUGAUACGGCCAGACUUGAGACUGGGAGAGGCAAGCGGAAUUACCGGUGUAGUAGUAAAAUGCGUUAAUAUCGGUAAGAACACCAAAUGCGAAGGCAGCUUGCUGGAACAGUUCUGACACUCAGGGACGAAAGCGUGGGGAG